rnacentral:lncRNA from 1 species
GUAGUUUUAUCAAUGAGGUGUUUCAUAUUUUCCUCCCUCAAUUUUUUCAUUCUUUUGAUUUUGUUUUAUAGACUCUUGCUGCCUUGUGAAGUCAUUUGCUUCCAGCUGUGAGAUUCGAAUUUUUAAAGACUGAAUUUCAUCUCUGGCUUUUUGGUCAUCCUUCUCCUUCUGGUCUGUUUUUUUUUUUUUUAAGUUACUGUUGUUGUUUUUGAAGAGGUGCCUUGGCAGGAGUGGUGGCUCAGAACCUGUGAUUUUAUCUGGAUAGGGGACCAGUACUUUUGGUGUGAAAAUUCCCUCUACCAUUCUGUACUGUUGCUUCCCUGCUGGCUGCCUGGUCAGAGCCCCGAACUUCUGUGCUGGUACCAAGGCACUCUGUCACUGCUGCAGCCUUCACCCUGGAAUCCUAGUCAGCUGGAUUCUUACCACAGCAUCUUCAAGUGA